GUAGCACUGCCCCUAUCAGGUUCAAAGUAUCCAUAUAGUCCAAUAUGCCGAAUUGGGUGUAGCGGAUUUUGUAUCAACACACUUUUAUUAUUUUUUUCAAACAUGCUCAGGGGUCGGUUAAAGGCCUGACUACCCCUUGAAGCAGGUCUUACCCCGAAAUUCCCUUUAUUUCACGGUGACCCACUGAUAUAAUACGUAUCGAUACUUUAAACCUCAUGGUGUUUCCACCAUCAAACCUUCUUCAACAUUAAUCUCCUCUUAUGGAUUUUCAGCCUCAUCCAAUCAAGCCAUGAAUGAUAGAUUUGUAUUGGACUGUUAUAUCUGUAAUGCUUUUGCACUAUUGGGGGACAUACCAUUUUACAUGGCACAACUUCUGAAGGUCGACGAUAGCGAUUUUCCUGAGUCCUGACCUGGGUUUGGAGCAUUGAAGAAAUGGGAAUGGGAUACAAGAGAGGACUGAAGGCUCACAGUGCUGUGCAAUGAAACGUUUGAAAGUUCGGGUUUGCUGUUUGCUCCUCCCGCGUCUCUCUCUACUCUCGUUUCACUCUUUCAGUCUUCCAUUCUUUGUCUAUCUCUCUCUUCUCUAUUUCUCUUUGUCGGCUGUUUGCUGUUCGUGCUUUGCAAUAUUGGUUGGUUGGUGUUGAAGGAUUCGUAGGAUAAAGAGCUAUUUUUUCGUCUGGAUGGCUGCAAGGAGUGAAAUCAGAGUAGGUCGGUCUUUUCACUUGUGGAUUCUUCUACCGGAAAAUAGGAAUUUGGGACAAUUUAGGGUUAAUAGAGCAUAAAGACAAGGUGAUAUGGCGGAAAAGGGAGCACUUCAGCCCAACAAGAAGAGAGGCCCAGCCGAAGCCUUAUGGGAGGCUCCAAGAGGCGGCUGACUUUAGCAGAGUUUGAAGGGGAGUAGGACUCUCAACCAAAAGCUGUAAGAAAGAGUAUAAAAGAAAAAGAAAAAGGAGAAAUUAGGGUUCGACCCCUUGACACAAGAACAGAAAAGAGAAGUGCUAGGAGAAGGAUCACAAGGCUGCCGAAGGAGAAUUGAAAGGAGAUCGAAGAUUGAUGCAAAACUUCUGAGUUGUCUUCUUCUUUAAUUCAGCAUUUCGGUAACCUAGGUUCAACUAGGGUUUUUCUUUGUUUGAAUCUUUCUUUCUUUCUACUAUGCGAACCAUGAUUAAUGUUAAUUCAGAUCUGUAAUUAAUCUUUUAAGCUAA